rnacentral:lncRNA from 13 species
CUCUGAAAUUGACUAGCCACUCCCACCAGCUUCCCUGAAGAGCCCCAGGACUGAGUAUUCUAACAGAUUAAGUUUUCAGAAUACAGAAAAGCCUGUUUUGGCCUGCUGGACAGUUCUGAAUAUAGCUGGAAGUGUGUCUUUGUACUUGUGGAUUUGGAAGAACAAUAUUUAGCACUCUGCGCCUCAAGAAAAUGUUUUGAAAGAAAACAGUGAGUUCAGCACAUGGUGUGAAUUUGUACUCUUAGCUCUAUGUGCAGUGGAUAGACUCACUCAAAGUCCAGACCCCUGACAUGUAGCCGGUAUGGGUCUGGGCUCCUCCAUAUCCCAACACACUGUCCCAGGUUUCAGGGAGUAAGAUGUAGAUGUCUUUGGGAAGGCCAUUAUGCUUCCUACAACAUGGAGUAAAAAUGGAGUCGAGAAAAAGGCACUAAGAAGAGAUCACUUUCAGAAAAAGACGUGAAGUCGGAAUCUUGCUCAGUCACCCAGGCUGGAGUGCAAUGGUGUGAUCUCGGUUCACUGCAGCCUCUGCCUCCUGGGCUCAAGUGAUUCUCCUGCCUCAGCCUCGCAAGUAGCUGGGAUUAUUAUGGCACAUGCCAUCAUGCCUGGCUAAUUUUUGUAUUCUUAAUAGAGAUGAGGUUUCACCAUGUUGGCCAGGAUGGUCUCAAACUCCUGACUGCACGUGAUCUGCCUGCCUUGGCCUCCCAAAGUGCUGGAAUUACAGCUCCUGGAACCUGACAUUUUCCACAAACUUUCACUUCUCCUCUCAGGAGCCAAGUGCAUAUAUCUACUUUAUUUCUCAGCUGCAACUCCAGAUCCUUUCUCACUCCCCGUCCC